UCUUCCACAAUGGACGACAGUCUGAUGGAGCAACGCCGCGUGAGUGAUGAAGGGUUUCGGCUCGUAAAACUCUGUUGUUGGAGAAGAACAGGUGUGAGAGUAAAUGUUCACAUCUUGACGGUAUCAAACAAGAAAGCCACGGCUAACUACGUGCCAGCAGCCGCGGUAAUACGUAGGUGGCAAGCGUUGUCCGGAUUUAUUGGGCGUAAAGCGAGCGCAGGCGGUUUUUUAGGUAUGAUGUGAAAGCCUUCGGCUUAACCGGAGAAGUGCAUCGGAAACCGGGUGACUUGAGUGCAGAAGAGGACAGUGGAACUCCAUGUGUAGUGGUGAAAUGCGUAGAUAUAUGGAAGAACACCAGUGGCGAAGGCGGCUGUCUGGUCUGUAACUGACGCUGAGGCUCGAAAGCAUGGGUAGCGAACAGG
rnacentral:rRNA from 1 species